rnacentral:lncRNA from 1 species
CCCUUUAGUAAAAAAAUAGACGAAUUAGUCCCUAUAUGUUAAAUCAAAAAGUAAACUACUCAUUUCUAUUAAAAAACUUAUCCAUUUCGACUGUUAAAAAUUGGUGUGUCUAAUGAAAUAACUAGACAAUUACAUGUGACGUGCCACAUGUACCUCAUGCUAACAUACAUGAACCAAUUUUUAAUAGUAGAUUUGGAUUAAUUUUUAACAAAUGACCGGUUUGCUCUUUGAUCUAAUGUACAUGAACUAUGUACAGGCCAAUUUUGGACCCAAUACAACAAAACAUUAACCCAACCUCAACCCAUUUACAUCAGACCCAAUAACCCCAAUCAAACCCAUUCCCAAUACAUUACCCAAAUCAAACCCAUUCCCAAUACAUUACCCAAAUCAUUAAGCCCAAAUUACCCGAGCCCGAUAUUAAACCUUUACAAAUCAUCACACAAAGCCCAAAUACAAAAUAACCCACCUAAAUACCAACUAACCCAUAACCCAAUUAAACCCACAAACCCAAUACAAAUUAAACCCAAAUUUACCCAUCAACCCAAUACCCAUUAGCCCAACUAAACCCAACACCCAACAGAAGCCCAAGACCCUAAACCCUAGCCUCUCUUUACCUAACCCCAUGUUCGGCGCCGCACCAACCUUCUGCCAUCUAACCAGCGCCGCACCAACCCUUGUCACCUCCACCAUCCCUCUGCACCUACAAGAAAGCAUAAAAGAAACAGCAGACAACACGAAAUAGUAAAAAAGGUUGUAUUUUCAUUCGGCUAUAAAGCCAUCAAAAUAAAAUGUAAAAAGGGUUCUUUUUUUUCUAUUGGCAGUUUCAAAAACACAAAAUAAGACAAGAUUCAAUCUCAUAACAACAGUCUAAUCAGUAUUCAAACACAAGCAUAACAUACAAGCAAAUCGGAUACCAAGAUCAAAGAAUCAGAAGCUAAGAAAAACUAAAGGUUAUUUCUUUUUUAUUAUUUCAUUUUCGUUUUAAAACCCAUUUUAUCGCAAAUACAUAUAAGAAUAUAACAAAAAUAAUAAGAUAAACAAGCGGAAUAAAAAAACGAAAAAAAAAUUAAAAUUUACCUUUUUCGGCCACCGUGUACGGUGGCCGGCGCCGGCGACGGAAGGUGGUCCAGUGAUCGACCGGUGACCGGCCUUGCUGCCGGAAAUCGCUCCCUCCCCUCUCUCCCUCCUUUUUUUUUCUUCUUACCA